rnacentral:rRNA from 1 species
AGUGGCGAACGGGUGAGUAACACGUGAGCAAUCUGCCCCUGACUCUGGGAUAAGCGUUGGAAACGACGUCUAAUACCGGAUACGAACUGAGAUCGCAUGGUCAUCAGUUGGAAAGAACUUCGGUCAGGGAUGAGCUCGCGGCCUAUCAGCUAGUUGGUGAGGUAAUGGCUCACCAAGGCGACGACGGGUAGCCGGCCUGAGAGGGUGACCGGCCACACUGGGACUGAGACACGGCCCAGACUCCUACGGGAGGCAGCAGUGGGGAAUAUUGCACAAUGGGCGCAAGCCUGAUGCAGCAACGCCGCGUGAGGGACGAAGGCCUUCGGGUUGUAAACCUCUUUUAGCAGGGAAGAAGCGAAAGUGACGGUACCUGCAGAAAAAGCACCGGCUAACUACGUGCCAGCAGCCGCGGUAAUACGUAGGGUGCAAGCGUUGUCCGGAAUUAUUGGGCGUAAAGAGCUCGUAGGCGGUUUGUCGCGUCUGCUGUGAAAAUCCGAGGCUCAACCUCGGACCUGCAGUGGGUACGGGCAAACUAGAGUGCGGUAGGGGAGAUUGGAAUUCCUGGUGUAGCGGUGGAAUGCGCAGAUAUCAGGAGGAACACCAAUGGCGAAGGCAGAUCUCUGGGCCGUAACUGACGCUGAGGAGCGAAAGCGUGGGGAGCGAACAGGAUUAGAUACCCUGGUAGUCCACGCCGUAAACGGUGGGAACUAGAUGUGGGGUCCGUUCCACGGAUUCCGUGUCGCAGCUAACGCAUUAAGUUCCCCGCCUGGGG